rnacentral:rRNA from 1 species
AACGAACGCUGGCGGCAGGCCUAACACAUGCAAGUCGAACGCUGUAGCAAUACAGAGUGGCAGACGGGCGAGUAACACGUGGGAAUCUUCCUAUCGGUACGGAAUAGCUCAGGGAAACUUGGGGUAAUACCGCAUACGCCCUUCGGGGGAAAGAUUUAUCGCCGAUAGAUGAGCCCGCGUCUGAUUAGCUAGUUGGUGAGGUAAUGGCUCACCAAGGCGACGAUCAGUAGCUGGUCUAAGAGGAUGACCAGCCACACUGGGACUGAGACACGGCCCAAACUCCUACUGGAGGCAGCAGUGGGGAAUAUUGGACAAUGGGCGCAAGCCUGAUCCAGCCAUGCCUCGUGAGUGACGAAGGUCUUCGGAUUGUAAAGCUCUUUUGGCGGGGACGAUAAUGACGGUACCCGCAGAAUAAGCCCCGGCUAACUUCGUGCCAGCCGCCGCGGUAA